rnacentral:lncRNA from 1 species
AACUGAAAAGGGAACAUCUGUUGCAUCCCCUGGGUUUGAGGGCAGUCUGUGUAACUCUUCCUAUCUCUGAGAGUGUGCACAAAGUGGAGACGGUGGAGACUUCCAACCUCAAAUCUAAAAAAGAUUGAGAGAUUUCGGAAGGCCCGGAGGCGCCAAAGGUCAGGGGGAUCAAUAUACAGACCCUACCGUGGGGGAAGGGAGGAGGAAGGGAAGACUUGUAUUGAAAACCGCUGCAAAAGGGAAGCCAAUGAGAGGGAAGGAAGUUUCUGAAUAAUUAAAAAGUUCAGAAUAAGCAAACCCAGUUGCCACGGGGGAAGGAGGUAGGAUGGGGGAUUUUAAAAAAGCGGUUGAUGUGGUAAUUAAGAAUUUUGGUGAGCGCCUGGGCAGGUCACCUCCUUUCUCAGAUCAGAGCCCCAUCAGAAAUUCUUUCAAGUGUCCUUCUGCGUCGCCAAAGAUGACAACAGCAAAUCAAUAAGUGCUUGAAAUGAAAGGGGAUGUUGGCGAGCCCCCAGGCUACAGAUUUCCCGCCGCCAGCCUGUUCUGAACUCCUAGCGUGCCUUUGCACCGUCUCUCUUAAGAAGAGCUACCUUUUAUUCCAAUUCUCAGGACGAAGGAGCCAUUUGCAUUUCCCACCAGCUGCUCACUUCAGCUGCACUGGCGCUGGGCGAGGCGAGGACCCAAAAGCACGGCGCGGUGUCUGCGGCGGCCGGGACUGGGGUUAACUAGCCCCUGGCAGGCGAGACUCCAGACAGAAGGGGGGCGAGGGGAGUGUGAGCUUCCCGGAGCCCCUCCAUCCCAGCCCCGGUUUGCAAACCUCGGAAUACUGAAAGCACGCGCUUAUCUGCGCGUCUCUCCAGCGCAGUCCCUUUCUCUUUCCCUUGUCUCCCCGGGCGUCUCCGACUGUCUCUGGUUUUCUCACUCUUUCCCCACUUUUCCGUGAGAUUCUCCAUCCUUGCCUCCAGAUGAAGGCAAGGUUGUUCUGCUCUGAGCGUCUCUUAAUCUCUAUAAAAAUAAAAGAAAAGAAGGAGGCA